AGUGAACGCUGGCGGUAGGCCUAACACAUGCAAGUCGAACGGCAGCACAGUAAGAGCUUGCUCUUACGGGUGGCGAGUGGCGGACGGGUGAGGAAUACAUCGGAAUCUACUUUUUCGUGGGGGAUAACGUAGGGAAACUUACGCUAAUACCGCAUACGACCUACGGGUGAAAGCAGGGGAUCUUCGGACCUUGCGCGAUUGAAUGAGCCGAUGUCGGAUUAGCUAGUUGGCGGGGUAAAGGCCCACCAAGGCGACGAUCCGUAGCUGGUCUGAGAGGAUGAACCGGCAACAUGGAACUGAGGACCGGUCCAGACUCCUACGGGAAGGCGCAGUUGGGAAUAUUGGGCAAUGGGCGGAAGGCUGGUCCCGGCAAUCCGGCGUGGUUGAAGAAGCCCUCGGGUUGUUAAAGCCCUUUUUUGGGAAAAAAAAGGAGGAAGGUUAAUACCCCGUUGUCCGGCGGGAACCAAAAGAUUAAGCACCGCUUACUUCGGU
rnacentral:rRNA from 1 species